CCCUAAUAAGAAUGUUCUUCCUUAGUUCUUAGAAAAUGUCAGUUCCAACAGAAAAAAGAUACCUCAGUCCUUAAGUUCACAAAGAAGAACUCCCACAGAUAAACGAAAACGGCGGAACGAUGCAAAUCCAAUGGAAGGUGGCACCAGAUGAACCAAUGAUUAGCUUCAAUUACAUUAGCUAGGCCUUAAACAUUCAACAGGAUCAACAGGAACUCUAAGGACUGAGUCUGCGUCGUUCUCUGGGGGAGGAGUCAGCGCCGCUUCAAGAUUUCUCUAAUUGGAUGACUAACAUCUGCAGUGCUAGCCUAUUACCAAUUCUUAUUGGAUGAACUAUGCCGCAGUAAUAUGCAU